AUAAGGGUAUAUGCCUACACAUAGCUGGAAACGCUUCAUGGAGUAACUGUGGGUUUGCUUUACUCACAAAACUAUUUGUUAGACCUGUGAGAAGGAAUUACAAGACAGAG
rnacentral:snoRNA from 1 species